rnacentral:siRNA from 1 species
GCGGGGAUAGCUCAGUUGGG